rnacentral:rRNA from 1 species
AAGCUCGUAGUUGAAUUUCGGGGUUAGUAGGUUGGUCAUGCCUCUGGUAUGUACUGGUCUCACUGAUUCCUCCUUCCUUAUGAACCGUAAUGCCAUUAAUUUGGUGUUGCGGGGAAUUUGGACCGUUACUUUGAAAAAAUUAGAGUGUUUAAAGCAAGCUAACGCUUGAAUACAUUAGCAUGGAAUAAUGAAAUAGGACGUUCGAUCUUAUUUUGUUGGUUUCUUAGGAUUGACGUAAUGAUUAAUAGGGAUAGUUGGG